AGUGAACGCUGGCGGUAGGCCUAACACAUGCAAGUCGAACGGCAGCACAGUAAGAGCUUGCUCUUACGGGUGGCGAGUGGCGGACGGGUGAGGAAUACAUCGGAAUCUACUUUUUCGUGGGGGAUAACGUAGGGAAACUUACGCUAAUACCGCAUACGACCUACGGGUGAAAGCAGGGGAUCUUCGGACCUUGCGCGAUUGAAUGAGCCGAUGUCGGAUUAGCUAGUUGGCGGGGUAAAGGCCCACCAAGGCGACGAUCCGUAGCUGGUCUGAGAGGAUGAUCAGCCACACUGGAACUGAGACACGGUCCAGACUCCUACGGGAGGCAGCAGUGGGGAAUAUUGGACAAGGGGCGCAAGCCUGAUCCAGCCAUACCGCGUGGGUGAAGAAGGCCGUCGGGUUGUAAAGCCCUUUUGUUGGGAAAGAAAAGCAGCAGGUUAAUACCCCGCUGUUCUGACGGUACCCAAAGAAUAAGCACCGGCUAACUUCG
rnacentral:rRNA from 1 species